rnacentral:lncRNA from 1 species
CAUGAUGGUCCAUGGGUCUUCGACAAGCAUCUGAUCUUAAAUAGAGAUGUUGAAGGCCUUGAACAAAUCUAUCAGAUUUCCUUCUCUGAGGCAAUUUCCUGGGUAAGAAUCUACGAUCUCCCUAUCAUGGCUUGCAAUUGGAAGAUGGGAGAUUCUAUUGGAUGGCAACUGGGCAAAGUAGUGGAAGUGGAUAUUGAAAAAAAUGAGAUUGCAAGGGGUGAAUACCUUCAUGUUCGAGUAUGUCUUGACAUCUCCAAAUCUAUUCUAGGUAGAAAGAAGAUUUGCAUCGGAUCUUACAAACCUUUCUGGAUCCGUCUUGCCUAUGAACGUCUUCCAAAUUUUUGCUACCUAUGUGGCAUUCUUGGACAUAGUCAGAAAGAAUGCUCGCAAUGGCAACCUUCAAUGGAGACUUACUCAACCACAGAUUAUGCUGAUGGACCCUGGUUACGGGCUGGAAAUUUGGGAGAUUAUGGUGGCCCAAUUCGUGAUCGUCAAAUGAAUUACAGAGCCCCAAAUUCUCUGGUGGCAAAGCCUAGCUCCGGUGACCAGAUUCACGGCAAGGAAGUGAUAGCUAUGGCAAUUGACAGUAACUGAGCUGAAAUUCAGGAGAAAUUACAGGGAAAUGUUGGGAAAGGAGAUAAUGCAGAGAUGAUAGAGGCAACAAGUCUGGAGCAAUUACCGGAACAUAUUGAUUCCAUAAUUGCUAAUCAAACGGAAGUGUUCAAAGAAGAUAGUAGAGAUGCUGAAAAUUCGCCUAAGAAUACUCUUGACAUUUCACAACUUGUCUCUGAAUUAUCCAAAUGUAGCGGGACUUCAAUUCCAGAAGAUGCUUCUAACCUCAGUAGACAUUGGAAAAGAGUAAAUAAAUCGAAGACUCUCAGCUCCAUUACCUCUACUCCACAAGCAAGCCUUAAGAGAUCUCUAGACACUUCUCCUGAAGUUAGGAAAACUACUCAAAU